rnacentral:rRNA from 1 species
GAUUAACGCUGGCGGCGUGCCUAACACAUGCAAGUCGAGCGGCAGCGAGUUUUACACUGAAUUCUGGUAGCUUCUAGUUGAAAGAGAAGAUUUAUUCAAGAAUUUUGUGUAAAAUGUCGGCGAGCGGCGGACGGCUGAGUAACGCGUGGGAACGUACCCCAAAGUGAGGGAUAACGCAUCGAAAGGUGUGCUAAUACCGCAUAUGGUCUUCGGAUUAAAGCCUUCGGGCGCUUUGGGAACGGCCUGCGUAAGAUUAGAUAGUUGGUGGGGUAAUGGCCUACCAAGUCGACGAUCUUUAACUGGUUUGAGAGGAUGAUCAGUCAGACUGGAACUGAGACACGGUCCAGACUCCUACGGGAGGCAGCAGUGAGGAAUCUUCCACAAUGGGCGAAAGCCUGAUGGAGCAACGCCGCGUGCAGGAUGAAGGCCUUCGGGUUGUAAACUGCUUUUAUAAGUGAGGAUUAUGACAGUAACUUAUGAAUAAGGAUCGGCUAACUACGUG